AGGAUAAAAGUUAAAAUUUAACAUUUAAGUUGCAUUUAAAAAAUAUUGAAGAUUCAAUUUAUCUUA
rnacentral:tRNA from 1 species